rnacentral:rRNA from 1 species
UACAGAGGUCCCAAGCGUUGUUCGGAUUCACUGGGCGUAAAGGGUGCGUAGGCGGCUUCUUAAGUCUGGUGUGAAAUCUCCCGGCUCAACUGGGAGGGUGCGCCGGAUACUGAGGGGCUAGAGUGUGGGAGAGGAAAGUGGAAUUCCUGGUGUAGCGGUGAAAUGCGUAGAUAUCAGGAGGAACACCGGUGGUGUAAACGGCUUUCUGGACCAUAACUGACGCUGAGGCACGAAAGCGUGGGUAGCAAACAGG